GGGCCCGUAGCUCAGUACGGACAGAGCGAACGCCUCCUAAGCGUUAGGUCGAGGGUUCAAAUCCCACCGGGCCCGCCA
rnacentral:tRNA from 1 species